rnacentral:misc_RNA from 1 species
GAUGAAGAACGUAGCGAAAUGCGAUAAGUAAUGCGAAUUGCAGAUCUCCGUGAGUCAUUGAAUCUUUGAACGCACAUUGCGCCCCUCGGUAUUCCGUGGGGCAUGCCUGUUCGAGCGUCAUUUACCCCUCAAGCACUGCUUGGUGUUGGGCGUCUGUCCCGCUUCGCGCGCGGACUCGCCCCAAAGGUAUUGGCAGCGGUCGUGCCAGCUUCUCGCGCAGCACAUUGCGCUUCUCGAGGCGGUCGAUCGGCGUCCACGAAGCUCACCUCCACCGUUUGACCUCGGAUCAGGUAGGGAUACCCGCUGAACUUAAGCAUAUCAAUAAGCGGAGA